rnacentral:rRNA from 1 species
GGCAACAGCUCAAAUUUGAAAUCUGGCUCUUUUAGAGUCCGAGUUGUAAUUUAGAGAAGUGUUACCCGUGCUGGGCCGUGUACAAGUCUCCUGGAAUGGAGCGUCAUAGAGGGUGAGAAUCCCGUCUUUGACACGGAAUCCAGUACAUUGUGGUGCGCUCUC